AUUGAACGCUGGCGGCAUGCUUUACACAUGCAAGUCGAGCGGCAGCGCGGGGGGCAACCUUGGCGGCGAGCGGCGAACGGGUGAGUAAUGCAUCGGAACGUAUCCUGUAGUGGGGAAUAACUCACCGAAAGGUGAGCUAAUACCGCAUAAGCUCUGAGGAGGAAAGCGGGGGACCGAAAGGCCUCGCGCUGCAGGAGCGGCCGAUGUCCGAUUAGCUAGUUGGUGAGGUAAAGGCUCACCAAGGCGACGAUCGGUAGCUGGUCUGAGAGGAUGAUCAGCCACACUGGGACUGAGACACGGCCCAGACUCCUACGGGAGGCAGCAGUGGGGAAUUUUGGACAAUGGGGGAAACCCUGAUCCAGCCAUGCCGCGUGAGUGAAGAAGGCCUCGG
rnacentral:rRNA from 1 species